rnacentral:rRNA from 1 species
UUGCCUACGGGAGGCAGCAGUGGGGAAUAUUGGGCAAUGGGCGCAAGCCUGACCCAGCAACGCCGCGUGAAGGAAGAAGGCUUUCGGGUUGCAAACUUCUUUUGUCAGGGACGAAGCAAGUGACGGUACCUGACGAAUAAGCCACGGCUAACUACGUGCCAGCAGCCGCGGUAAUACGUAGGUGGCAAGCGUUAUCCGGAUUUACUGGGUGUAAAGGGAGCGUAGACGGCUUGGCAAGCCAGAUGUGAAAGGCUGGGGCUCAACCCCAGGACUGCAUUUGGAACUGUCAUGCUAGAGUGUCGGAG